CUCUGUUUUGCAUUCAGUUGGUCUCUGACUGUUACCGAAUGUCAAAUGGAGCAUGUUCUGGGUCGGUUUAUGUUGCCUGUCGCUUAUGCCGCCUGAGUCAUCAAAGAGUACCACAGUAUAAUCCUGCCGACUGCAGACACACAAGCCUCCUUUGUUUCAAUGCAGACAUGAAGAAAAAUCUCAAGUCAGGCGCAGUGUAUGUAUGCAGUGAUUUACUGAAGCUUCUGCCAAGUCUUAUAUAACUCACUCAAGCUGUUGGAGGGGACUGGGCCAUGAUGUUGUCAAGCACUGAAGGAUGAAAA